GGCGCAUGGGUCCGAGUGGAAUGACGUCACGCGGUUCAUGGUGGCUUACAGGGAGUGGGCUUCGGUGAAUGUGCAGCUAACAGAGGUCUUCACACGGUCCAUAUGCACAGGGGGGUGAUGGCGCGGUCCAUAAGGAAAAAUGGUUGGUCCACAGUGGCUCGCGCUUGCGGCUUUAUGGGCUUGGAUGUGCGGUUCAAGCGGGGUCUUCAAGCGGUUUGAAACGCGGAUGCAGGAAC
rnacentral:lncRNA from 1 species